GUCCGACGCGCGGUAGGGUGAGAGGGAAGGGACAACACUUGCGGGGAGGCGUCACGAGCGCACGGAGGCGCUGUGGAGAUUGAGGAACCGCAACAGAGGAGAGAGCAGAGACUCCCUGGUGGCAUGUAGUUCUGGCAACAAACUGAUUACUCUAUCAUAGAAAGUUGAAAGAAAACCUAGCCCAUGACCAGAAGGUAAGUUUUCACCCUA
rnacentral:lncRNA from 1 species